ensembl:lncRNA
AGCUAAUAGAACUAAUGCGUUAACAAACCAGCCACAAUCAUGCAGUAACGUUACAGUAUAUAGUCAGUAAGCAGUUACACCGUCGGGCCCCGAUGGCAAUAAAUUAAUAAAACCAGCUUACUUUGACAUGGAUGGUGUUGGAUAGUCAUAGCCAGCUAGCUAACAUAGUAUCCCUCUGUUCGAGCCGGGUGUUUGAGUACCUAAACUGGCCAGCUGAAUUUGCUAGCUAAAUUCGAAAAUGCUAAUUAGCAUCAAAGUAGACAUCAUGCAAAACUAAAAACCCCUGCAAGCUCCUGCACUUCAUCUCUAGCUGUGUAAAUGUUUUCCUCUUCUUCGUCUGAAGAGGAGAGGCGAGAAGGAUCGGAGGACCAAUAUGCAGCGUGGUUGGAUCAGUCAUGGACAGAAACUUCUGAGACGCGGUAUCAAUGAUGAACACCCAGAGGUUCACUGGUAAACCACAUUUUACUCGGGAUCCAUCCCAGUUGGUAUUCUGUGUCCACUCGUGGUAUCUCUCUUCGGUUACACAUCCCUGGAAUAGCAGAACAGCAUAACGUCAGAAGAGGAAUGGAAAUGUCAGGGUAAACCGACGACCUGACGAACCCACCAAGAUUGUUGACUCUGCCUGUCGGAGGUGGAGUUCCAGAGCUCACAGGUGUGCCUGGCAUGGAUUGUGACUCCAUCUCGUUCUUCGCCCUCUUCAACGUGUCAUUCUCCGCCUGACUCUCCGCCAAUGCCGCCUGGCUCUGGACCAAUGCAUCAGCUGUCGCCUGUAUCUCUGCCCUCAGAGAAUGUUUCUCUUUCUGCUGGUCUGCCUUCAAUGACUCGAUCUCGCUCUUCAAAAUUGGAAUCUGAUCCAUGUGUACCUUCAUCAGAUGAGCAGAAUGGUACCGCCCUGAGCCCCCAUCGAUUACAGUGGCCUAUGAUAGAAACGGUAGAUCAGUGAAGAAUUCAAAGUGACUCCAACACACAAAUGCUGCAUACACAUUAAAAAUAAAUAAGACCUACACCACUUUUAGCUGCACAUUACUCAACGCUAGUGAGACUCAUGUCGCCUACGGCAGGCCUACAGUAUAUUUAAAAAUAUAUUUUUCAAUGACGUGACUCUUCGUCAAUAAUUACAUUUAGAGGAUUGGAGGAUUCUACAUGAAUAUCUAAGGGGCAUUUUAUCAAUUAGUAUAUUUGAGUUUAACCACAAUAUUGUUGUAUUAUUUGUUCUGUCUUUUCUGGUGGAUUAAACU